UGGGGAAUUUUGGACAAUGGGGGCAACCCUGAUCCAGCCAUGCCGCGUGCGGGAAGAAGGCCUUCGGGUUGUAAACCGCUUUUAGUCGGGAAGAAAAGGCACGUUUUAAUACAGCGUGUUCUUGACGGUACCGGCGGAAUAAGCACCGGCUAACUACGUGCCAGCAGCCGCGGUAAUACGUAGGGUGCGAGCGUUAAUCGGAAUUACUGGGCGUAAAGCGUGCGCAGGCGGUUCGUUAAGUCUGAUGUGAAAGCCCCGGGCUCAACCUGGGAACUGCAUUGGAAACUGGCGGGCUUGAGUAUGGCAGAGGGGGGUGGAAUUCCGCGUGUAGCAGUGAAAUGCGUAGAGAUGCGGAGGAACACCGAUGGCGAAGGCAGCCCCCUGGGCCAAUACUGACGCUCAGGCACGAAAGCGUGGGGAGCAAACA
rnacentral:rRNA from 1 species